rnacentral:rRNA from 1 species
GAUGAACGCUGGCGGCGUGCCUAAUACAUGCAAGUCGAGCGAACGGACGAGAAGCUUGCUUCUCUGAUGUUAGCGGCGGACGGGUGAGUAACACGUGGAUAACCUACCUAUAAGACUGGGAUAACUUCGGGAAACCGGAGCUAAUACCGGAUGAUAUUUUGAACCGCAUGGUUCAAAGGUGAAAGACGGUCUUGCUGUCACUUAUAGAUGGACCCGCGCUGCAUUAGCUAGUUGGUAAGGUAACGGCUUACCAAGGCAACGAUGCAUAGCCGACCUGAGAGGGUGAUCGGCCACACUGGAACUGAGACACGGUCCAGACUCCUACGGGAGGCAGCAGUAGGGAAUCUUCCGCAAUGGGCGAAAGCCUGACGGAGCAACGCCGCGUGAGUGAUGAAGGUCUUCGGAUCGUAAAACUCUGUUAUUAGGGAAGAACAUAUGUGUAAGUAACUGUGCACAUCUUGACGGUACCUAAUCAGAAAGCCACGGCUAACUACGU